rnacentral:snRNA from 1 species
AAGAAAUUCAUAAAGAAUCCUUCU